UCGUUAUUUUAUUAUUUAACUUAAUUGGAUAUUUUGAAUAUUAUUUAUUUAAUUAAUUAAAGUUCUUAUGAAAGUUUUAGGUUUGAUAUAUAUAUAAAAUUAAAUUUUUUUUGUUAUAGUGUUAUUUAACGUGAGUGACAAUUAUUAAAAUUUUAAAAGAUUAAUUUAUUUUUUUUACCUUUUGUAUCAGGGAUUACUUACUUUAUUAAAUUAUUUUAUUUUCCCGAAGAUAAAAGAUCUAUAAUAUUAUGUAAGUUAAUGUUGCAUGAUUAUUUAAAAUAUUAUUAUAGUGGUUAUAUUCUAUACAAUUUUAUUGAUAUCUGGUUUCUACCGAAUUAAAUUUAAUUUAUUAUGAGUAUAAUUUAUUUUUACAUUUAUAUGUAUAUAUAUUUUUCUCAUAGAAAUAACUUAAGGUAUAACCUUUAAGUUUUUUCAAAAGAAUAGGUGUGGUAAUUACUCUUAAAUUUAAAACUUACUUACAGAAUUUGAAAUAGUUAAAAAAAAUUUAAUAAUUUAUUUAUUUUAUAGUUUUUAAGAUUUAUUUAAACUUUCUUUGAAUUAAUAGGUAGAUUUAUUUUUAAAUUAUUUAAAUUUAGAAAUAUUGGUAAUAUUAGUAUAAAAUUUUAAUUUGUUAAAUUUAUAAUUUUUUUUAUUUAUUAAAUUUAUGAAUUAGGCAAAAUUUUUAGCUUACCUGUUUAUCAAAAACAUGUCCUUAUGAAUAAUAAUUUAAGGUCGGCCCUGCUCAAUGAUUUUUUAAAUAGCCGCAGUAUAUUGACUGUGCAAAGGUAGCAUAAUAAUUUGUCUCUUGAAUGGAGACUGGAAUGAAGGGGUUGAUAAAGUUUCAACUUUAUUAAUUUAAUUAUUUAUAAUUUAAGAUUUAAGUUAAAAUGCUUAAAUUUAAUCAGGGGACGAGAAGACCCUUUAGAAUUUGAUAGAAUUAAUUUUAAUAAUUUAUUUUUUUUUUAAAAUAUAUAUUCUAUUUAGUUGGGAUGACUGUUAAAUUAAUAAAACUUUAAUUUUUAAAAUCAAUAAUUUUUGAUUUACUGAUUAAUUUUUAAUUAAUUAAGAAUUAAUUACCUUAGGGAUAACAGCGUAAUACUUUUGGGAAGAUCAUAUUUAUAAAAGUGAUUGCGACCUCGAUGUUGAAUUAAGAUGAAUUUUUCAAGUAGAGUUGAAGUUAUUUUAGUCUGUUCGACUAUUGAAAUCUUACAUGAUUUGAGUUCAGAUCGGCGUGAGCCAGAUCGGUUUCUAUCUUUGAAUAAAUUUUGAGUCUUUGUACGAGAGGAAUGGACUCAAGAAAAUUUUUUU
rnacentral:rRNA from 1 species